GCCGGGCGUGGUGGCUCACGCCUGUAAUCCCAGCACUUUGGGAGGCCGAGGCGGGAGGAUCACCUGAGGUCAGGAGUUUGAGACCAGCCUGGCCAACAUGGUGAAACCCUGUCUCUA
rnacentral:SRP_RNA from 1 species